rnacentral:rRNA from 1 species
CUUAGAGUUUGAUCCUGGCUCAGGACGAACGCUGGCGGUGCGCCUAAUGCAUGCAAGUCGAACGAGCGACCCGGGCUUGCCCGGUUAGCUAGUGGCAGACGGCUGAGUAACACGUAAGUAAUUUGCCCCGAAGAGGGGGAUAAUCCAGAGAAAUCUGGCCUAAUACCCCGUACCUUUCUUUCCGGCCUGCCGGAUUGAAAGAAAGGCUCCGGCGCUUUGGGAGAAGCUUGCGGCUUAUCAGGUAGUUGGUGGGGUAAUGGCCUACCAAGCCGAAGACGAGUAACCGGUGUGAGAGCACGAUCGGUCAGAGGGGGACUGAGA